AAGAUGGCGACCGGCGCACGGGUGAGUAACACGUAUCCAACCUGCCGAUAACUCUGGAAUAGCCUUUCGAAAGAAAGAUUAAUACCGGAUGGCAUACGAAUAUCGCAUGAUAUUUUUAUUAAAGAAUUUCGGUUAUCGAUGGGGACGCGUUCCAUUAGUUUGUUGGCGGGGUAACGGCCACCAAGACAACGAUGGAUAGGGGUUCUGAGAGGAAGGUCCCCCACAUUGGAACUGAGACACGGUCCAA
rnacentral:rRNA from 1 species